UAUCGAAACAAUUGAAGAAACUAUGUGAUAUAUGUAUAAGCCAAAUGACAUGUUAAUUGGAAUUUUAAGAGGUUACCUCUUUUCUAUUCUUCAAAUGAUUUUAGUUUUUGCAGAUGAAAGUAAAUACUGUUACAAAGUCUAUCAUUUGGGGAAUGAACAUACCAUAUGUGAAAAUAACGAAGAAUUUUAUGUACCUCCUGUCGUUAUUGUUGUAUUGAUUACAAUACUUUUAAUAUUACUUGUAUGUUUAGUACGGCCCUUGUAAUCAAAGACAAAUUAAAGACAAAAAAGAAAAGUUACUGUUAACAAAACUUGAAGAAAGAAUAACACACAUAUAAUGAACACUGCACAUAGCAUUUCACCAAUCACACAAUGUACUGCUGUCAACAGAUGAUUGAUAUGAUACCAAAGAAAAACUAUCUCAAUAUGUAACUUUCGUUUCAUUUUAAAUUAAAUUCUUGAUCUAAUAUUUCAAUUUUUCAUACUAUAUGUUAUUGACCAAAACGUCCUUCAAAUAACUUGAACGUAUAAUGACCAAAAUGGCAGUUGAUAAGCAAUGUAAAA